rnacentral:rRNA from 1 species
GGGACCCCAGGUCAGGCGGGGCUACCCGCUGAGUUUAA